AUAUGUAGGAGUCAAGGUUGAGAGGAUCCUUAGUCUCAACAACUCACUUCUUGUGGUCUAGUCAUGACCUUCUUACUUUGUAUCUAAUUAUUAUUCUAAUGUCAAGCUAAUUUUAUUUCUCGGUCUUGAAUCUUUAUCUUGUAUAUGGUUCCUAACUAAUUCUAAAUCAAAUCCUAAAUCCUAAUCCAAUCCUAAAUCCUAACCAAAUCUUAACCAAAUCCUAAAUAAAUUCUAAAUCCUACAUUCUAAAUAAAUCUUAAAUCCUAAAUCUUAAACAAAUCCUAAAUCAUAUCCUAAAUUCUAGUCCAACUCUAAACCGUAACCAAACUUUGAUCAAAUUCUAAAUCCUAAGUCAAUCCUAAUUCUAA
rnacentral:lncRNA from 1 species